rnacentral:rRNA from 1 species
AGACGUAGGGGGCUAGCGUUGCCCGGAUUCACUGGGCGUAAAGCGCGCGUAGGCGGUUCGGCAAGUCGCCCGUGAAAGCCCCUGGCUCAACUGGGGGAGGUCGGGCGAUACUGCCGGGCUAGAGGGCGGCAGAGGGAGGUGGAACGGCCGGAGUAGCGGUGAAAUGCGUAGAUACCGGCCGGAAUCCCGAUGGCGAAGGCAACCUCCUGGGCCGUUUCUGACGCUGAGGCGCGAAAGCUGGGGGAGCGAACCGGAUUAGAAACCCUUGUAGUCC